UGGCCCAUGGGGGGGGGGGGGGAUCGACCUCCGCGUUAUUAGCACGACGCUCUAACCAACUGAGCUAAUGGGCC